rnacentral:rRNA from 1 species
GAACUGAAGAGUUUGAUCAUGGCUCAGAUUGAACGCUGGCGGCAGGCCUAACACAUGCAAGUCGAGCGGUAGAGAGAAGCUUGCUUCUCUUGAGAGCGGCGGACGGGUGAGUAAUGCCUAGGAAUCUGCCUGGUAGUGGGGGAUAACGUUCGGAAACGGACGCUAAUACCGCAUACGUCCUACGGGAGAAAGCAGGGGACCUUCGGGCCUUGCGCUAUCAGAUGAGCCUAGGUCGGAUUAGCUAGUUGGUGAGGUAAUGGCUCACCAA